rnacentral:lncRNA from 1 species
CUUCGCCCAGUACUUUAGAAGAUCCGGAGGCAGCUCGGCCAUGCAUACAUCCCACAGUCUAGAGAGCAGGAAAGUGGCUUCUGAGAAUGCUGAAGACGGUCUUUGUAACUGUUUGUAUUUAUAGUUAUUGAACAGCUCUGUCAGUCCAUUUGCAAGCAGGACACUGGCGUCUUUACUCAGAUUUCCUGUGUGCUGCAUGUAUGUCACCCAGACAGAUUUCUCUAGACACCAUGAAAUGAAGAGCCUCCUCUUCCAUAAACAGCUGGACUCCUCAGAGGCCCACUGCAACGGAGUCACAAUGAUUGAGGCCUCAGAAACCAUGUGUGGGUCGGGGUGCUCAUUCUCAGAAGCAAGCAUCCCAUCCACAGCCCUGGAGCAGCUGUGGAGGCAAACUUAAAAUGCCCAAGAGGGCACUCUGAAUAUGCUCCACACCCUUGGAAGUCUACCACAUUCCUCUCUGAAGAGCUGUGUCUAUGAAUGAUGCAAACAGAAUCUUUGCAGGAAGUGUGCUACCGGGCUCUGAGCAGUCACUCCUGUCUUGACUAUCACUCUGACUCACCCUGAUUCCUUAUGUUCAGCUGUGGGUAAGAUCAGAGUGACAGGCUGCCUUGAGGCAGAGGCCACUGGGCUGGUUAUCUUGUAGGCUGUGGAUUCACUUUUCUGGCAUAGCUCUUCCUGCCUGAUCUUUCUCUUCCCAGGGUGACCUUUGGAUCUAGCUCCUCUACCAUUCCUCUUCAAGCACAGUAUCCAGCCCUGGCAGUGGUAGAACCAAGGAAAGACUCUUCUGUAAGUGGGGAGGCAAACAGAUGCCAUAGCAUGCUACAUGGAGAUCAGAAGACAACCAGCAUUAUUUAGUUUUCUCACCACACCAUGUGGAUCGUGGGACUCAAUUAAGGUUAUCAGGUUUGGCUGAAAGAACGUUUACCCAAUGAGUGAUGUCUCCAGCACCACCUCCUUAUAUUUCAGGACCAUGUGAUUCCCAUCAUGCACCAUGAAAAAAUGCAAGUGUAUCAGUUAGGAGUUGCUUAUGAGGUAAGGCUGCUCUGAGAGAUCCUGGGCUGAGAGCUGAAGCAGCAGGGUUCAUAAAAACCAGAGCCAAUGUGAGUCUGCCAGCUUGGGGCUCGGGAUCCAUCUAAAGACUACAGGGUCAAGAAAAGCCACAGAUAGAGGGAAGAGCCAUAGGACACACUGGGACCACUAAGGAGGAACUGUUUUCUGGCCAUCUUUACUGAUGUCCAGUCAGACAGUCUGUAGGCUACAAAGCUGAUGUGCUUGACCACGGAGUUAGCAUGAGGCCAAUAUCCUUAUUCGUGUCUGUAGAUGUAGCUGGAAAAGGAAUUCCUGCAAGUAGAAUUGCUGGGCCAGGGGACAUAUUCACUUGUUAUUUGCUAGAUAUUAUGAAUUUUCCCUCCAAAGGUGGUUGUACCAAUUCAUAUUCCUGUCAAUUAUGCAUGAAGAUGAAGGUUACCUGAUACAGGCAUUGGCAGAACACAUUAUCUUACUUAAAAAAAAAAAACUUUAAAAUUCAAUUUAUAAAAACAACAUAAUAUAUAAUUGAGAUCUUACUCUGUAUUUCUUUUCAUAAGAUGCAUGUUUAACAUUUGUAAAUGUUAAAUCCAUUUGUAUUUUUGUCUUACUGCAUUAGCAAUUUUCUCUCGUAUUCAUUUAUCAGUCUAUACACGUUUAAUGUGAGUUCACCA